rnacentral:rRNA from 1 species
AAUUGGAGUCAACGCCGGGAAAUCUCACCAGGAGCGACAGCAGKWUGARGGCCAGAUURAAGGUCUUGCUAGACGAGCUGAGAGGAGGUGCAUGGCCGUCGCCAGUUCGUGCCGUGAGGUGUCCUGUUAAGUCAGGCAACGAUCGAGACCCGCGUCCUCUGUUGCAACUAGCCUUGUGCUGGGCACACKGAGGANACCGCCACUGAUAAAGUGGAGGAAGGAGCGGGCCACGGCAGGUCAGUAUGCCCCNAAUCUCCUGGGCCACACNCNAGCUGCAAUGGCAGGUACAAUGGGUUCCGACCUCNAANGGGGAAGGCNAUCUCNAAANCCUGCC